UUUGUCUUUGUUUCUGUCUCUGGGAAGGAAUUGGGAUUUUUUUUGCUGCUUGGCUUUGCUGCCGUGUCCUUUUUCUCUGCUCCUGGCUCUGACUUGGAUGUGUUUGUGCUAUUGGUGUGGAGUUUUUUCAGUCGGAGGAAGAGCAAACAUCCCAAGGAAAAUCGAAGUGUGGGAUUUCCAGGGAGGAUUUUCACAUAAGCGUGUAUACACCGAGGAGUGAUAAGAAUUUUCUCCUUGCAUACCAAAGAGGAGUUUUCUGCAAUCCUUUUUUUGUUCUUGGAACCAGCUGAGGGGGGGAAAAACACCUCUGGGAAGCACAUGUGGAAUAAUCAUCAACUAGCCAGCCUCUGGAGAGAAUGGAGAGCCAAUGGAGAAGACAGUGCAGGGACAAGUUGAAAAUUAACUCCCGGGCCGGCUCCACCUCUUACCCAGCAAAGGGUGCUCUCAAAAUUAUUUAUAAAGAAGCCUGGGCACCAUCAGUGGAGCUCUGCAUCCAUGUGGGUUUGAUUCUCUGGGAUGCUGCGGGAGGCUCCGCUGGGGCAGCGGUGAAGGUUUGGAGUGCCCUGGCAGCGAUGAGUGCGGGGAAGGUGCCAGCCC